ACUGGGCUUAAAGGGCACGCAGGCGGAAUGGAAAGUGUUUUGUGAAAUCCCCCGGCUUAACCGGGGAAUUGCUUGACAAACUUCUAUUCUUGAGGCAGGUAGGGGUGUGUGGAACUCUUGGUGGAGCGGUGGAAUGCGUAGAUAUCAAGAGGAACGCCAAUGGUGAAGACAGCACACUGGGCCUGUCCUGACGCUGAGGUGCGAAAGCGUGGGGAGCAAACGGGAUUAGAUACCCCGGUAGUCCACGCCGUAAACGAUGUCUACUAGGUUGUGGGAGUUCUGACACUCUCGCAGCCGAAGCAAAAGUGUUUAGUAGACCGCCUGGGGAGUACGGUCGCAAGGCUAAAACUCAAAGGAAUUGACGGGGGCUCACACAAGCGGUGGAGCAUGUGGAUUAAUUCGAAGCAACGCGCAGAACCUUACCUGGGUUUGACAUGCUUGGAUGCCUGCCCCGAAAGGGGUUAGGCUGCCUUUUAGGUGAAACUUGCACAGGUGCUGCAUGGCUGUCGUCAGCUCGUGUCGUGAGAUGUCGGGUUAAGUCCUUUAACGAGCGAAACCCUUACCGUUAGUUGCCAGCGGGUCAUGCCGGGGACUCUAGCGGGACUGCCGGUGUCAAACCGGAGGAAGGUGGGGAUGACGUCAAGUCCUCAUGGCCUUUAUGCCCAGGGCCUCACACGUGCUACAAUGGGAGCUACAGAGCGAAGCGAGACCGCAAGGUGGAGCGAAUCGCAAAAAAACUCCCUCAGUUCGGAUUGCAGGCUGCCAAUUCGCCUGCAUGAAGUUGGAAUCGCUAGUAAUCGCGUAUCAG
rnacentral:rRNA from 1 species